GAUGAACGCUGGCGGCGUGCUUAACACAUGCAAGUCGAACGAAGCAUUUAGAACGGAUUACUUCGGUUUGAAGUUCUUUAUGACUGAGUGGCGGACGGGUGAGUAACGCGUGGGUAACCUGCCUUGUACUGGGGGAUAGCAGCUGGAAACGGCUGGUAAUACCGCAUAAGCGCACAAUGUUGCAUGACAUGGUGUGAAAAACUCCGGUGGUAUAAGAUGGACCCGCGUCUGAUUAGCUAGUUGGUGAGAUAACAGCACACCAAGGGACCGAUCAGAAGACGACCGGGGAGGGUGGCCGGCCACGUUGGGACUGAGACACGGCCCAGACUCCUACGGGGGGCAGAAGUGGGGAAUAUUGCACAAUGGAGGAAACUCUGAUGCAGCGACGCCGCGUGAGUGAAGAAGUAAUUCGUUAUGUAAAGCUCUAUCAGCAGGGAAGAUAGUGACGGUACCUGACUAAGAAGCUCCGGCUAAAUACGUGCCAGCCGCCGCCGUAA
rnacentral:rRNA from 1 species